CUUUCUGUCUUUUUAGGGCUGCACCUGUGGUAUAUGGAGGUUCCCAGGCUAGGGGUCCAAUUGGAGCUGCAGCUGCUGGCCUAUGCCAGGCCACAGCAAUGUGGGUUCCAAGCUGCAUUUGCAACCUACACCACAGCUCAUGGCAGCGCUGGAUCCUUAACCCACUGAGUGAGGACAGGGAUCAAACCUGCAUCUUCAUGGAUGCUAGCAGGGUUCGCUAACUGCUGAGACAUGAUGGGAACUCCAUAUUCUAGAGAUUUUAAAGACCUUCCUAAAUUGCAGAUCCCCAGAAUCUAUCCUCAGAGCUUCUCAUGUAAAUUCUGGAAUGGAAUCCAGGCAUCUUCAUUUUGAUGAGCACCCAAAGAAAUUCUGAUACAGAUGGUCCUUGGACUACUUACUAUGGAUUGGGCUACAAAGGUAAUGUGAAAAGAAAUCUUUAUGCUUCACCUUUUCAAUAUGGAGAAGACUGGCUUAUUCAAUGUGACUUAACCAUUAAAAUUACCUGUGAAAAUACCAGGCAGUUUGCUAAGACAUCUUAAAAUGAACCAAGGAGGACGCAAGGGCAAGAAACACUAAAUUCAAGCCAGAGACGUUCUUUUUAAAACUUCGCAAAGAUUGAUAGUGUGCUUAAAGUAAAAGGAGAAGAAUGGCAGCAGAGCAGCAGUGUUUCAUUUACAAUGUUGAUUCAAGAGGUUUAUUUGAUAAAAUGUGUUUUAAUGGCUGUUAGAAAAAAUGGAUGCCUUCUAAAUCUUUGAUUUACUGUUAAACUAUAGAUGUAUAUUUAUAUGAAAUAGUUUUCAAAAUUCCCUCAAGUCCUAUUUUCCAUAAGAUCUUGGUCUCGCCAACAUAAUUGCACUAAAGGUAGCUUCCCCCAUCUUCCCUCAAGAAACUUCUCCCCUGGGAUUGAAAGGAGAUUACUAUAGUCUAUUCCUCCACACACGUCCUACAGAAGGAGAGCUGCUGAUUCUGCCCUGACCUCUAGGUCUCUGCAGCCUGUAAAUAUUUUCAGGGAGAGUUGUCGCAGCACUAAGUUCUCUAAAAAUUCAGAGUCUUGUCAUUCUUUAACAACUUUAGCAGUGAAUGAUGGAGAUUUUUUAUUAUUCUUAUGAAUGUUGUAAAUUGUAUAACUUGUCGUAGUUUGCUCUUUGGCUUGGCUGCAUGAAAGUUUAAAGGCAUAUAUAUAUAGCACUUCACAAAAUGUAGAUUGUGUACCAACUUCACUCUUGACUCCAUUUUAUAUACUUGCCCUUGUUUUUUUUGUUUACCUUUCUUAUCUACUUUUAUUCAUGUAUUUCACUGUGUUAUUUGUUUCUUUUUCUCUGUCAGUCAUUUUAAUUUUUUCAGAACUAGGUGGCAGAAAUAAAUGAAAACAAAACAGUGUGUGUGUGUGUGUGUGUGUGUGUGUGUGUGUGUUAUAUAUAUAUCAAACUCACCUAAAAUAUAAAAUAAAAGUUAACCUCCUGAAAUAAUGGAAAUAUUCUGUAGUCUUUGAGAAAAAAACGAUUCCUAUGAUUAUUUGCAGAAAUGCAAUUUAAAGAGGCAUAAAAUUAAAAUACCACUAUGAGAAUAUCCAUAUGAAAUUGAACAUAGGUAUUUUUGGCACCAGAUCAUUAAUUCUGACAUCCUUCAGUUCUGAAAGCCAACUAUAUCAGUGUUAAAAUCUGUGUUUUCAAUCUUUAGACUUACUGUAUUAAAAAGACAAAAAACAAAAAACAACCAAACUCUUAGGCUUAAUCAGCUUAACUUAGUGUUUAAUUCUAAAGACAUUUUUCUUUCAAAAAUUAUAUAUGUUUACACGUAAUAAUACAUAUGUAGAUAUAUUAUUUACUUAUAUGUAUUUUACAUACAUAUAAAUGCACACAUCUUAGAAUCUUCAACCAAACACUUCAGUUCUUUGUCUCCAUUAUUAUUUUCCAUUAAUCAAAUAAUUUUCAUUAAGCAAUAAAGAGUGAUAAGUCAUCUCAACAGUGAAAACUUAUAUUCAAGCUGGAUUUGGUCUAUUUUCUGCAUUUCCUCCGAUAAUGAUGCAGCUAGUCUCAGACUGACUCUAGCAAUAACUCAGGUAAGUUAGAAGGACUCUAAUUGGGCACUAGACAUCUUAACAAUGAUACUCAUCUUAAUUUGUCCUGAUCUAACCACUUUGAGCUGAACUAUUAUUAUGUUUGGGACCCAAAUACGAUUUUUGUUCUUGUAUUAAUUUCUGGAUCUCAUAUCUUUUCAGAUACCAAAGAAAUAUAGUACCAUGCUGGAAUAACGCCUAGUUAUGCUCGUUUUUUGUUUUUUUUUUUUUUUUUUUGCACCGCCCCCCUGCAUCAUGGGCAACCAAUAGCUGAUUCAUACUUCCAUUACAUCACAGCUAGAUUAUAGAAGUGCUCUUUACUCUGACCUCCACAUGUCUGUUGCAACUCAUUUGUAGAUAGUCCAGAAGCUAGCAGCUGGAUUUCAUUUUUGUUUCAGCAGUCACCAUUUUACAAUGUUUCUCCAAUUCACUGUGAGUUUCUAUUGACAAGUCAAUCCAGAACUCCAAAAGGCAUUUAAAUGCAGUGAGUUAAAUCAGAGAGAAAAUAUUACCAUUAACUUGCCAUAGCUUCUUGUUACUUAACUACAUUUUUGCCAUUUACUCCCCAUACAUUGAAAGGGUACACUGAAAACAAUUCUCCUACAGAAGACUAAUGAAAUACUUAGCAAAAACAAAAGCUUCCAAAACACUAUUAGAAAUAAAAGUGCUGUAUUUUUUUAAUCUUGCAUAGAACUCUGGCUCAAUUUUUGAGCCUUUCCAAGUCCUCAUAAUUCUGUGGUAUAUAAUAAAGCAGGCAGAUGGUUUAGGCUCUGAACAUAUGCUUUAAAUGCCCUCUUUGCUAUUUGAAAAUAAUGGAUCAAAUUGUGCCCUCAAAUGGUCACAAGAAACUUUAAGGAGGCUGCCUCUUGAAAUUUGAGGACAGAAUGUUAUCCAGUGGGAAUUAAACCUUUAAAAAUACAUUUUCUAAACUUUCUGAACUCUCUUCUACAUAUUAAGAGAAACCAUUUUUUAAUAAAAUAGGAUAUAGUAAGGAAAAAUUGUAACCAGCAUAAUAUUACAUGGUUCAAGGAAAAGAUUAGGAGGGAAAAUAUGUUUUAUAUAUUUAUAUCUUGAAAUUCUGAUUAUCUAAAACCUAUGAGAGUCAUCUGAUUUAAUUUUUCAGUGAUUGCCAGGCUUUCCAUUUUUAUUAUUAUUCCUAUUAUUAUUACUAUCAUGUAGAUGUUUUAUUGUUAGAGCACUUUGCAAUUAUUAAUUAGUUAAUUUAGUUUAAAUUAUGUCUGUGCCUUUGUUUUAAAUCCAUGUUAUUCCUAGUUAUUACAAUCCUAAAAUACUAUUUCACCAGCCAAUUACUCACAUUUUAAAAACAUUUUGUUGUCGAUGAAAGCACAUUUUCCAGGUUUUCACAGAAUAUGAAAUUCAUCCUCAGUGAAUAUAUGUGAUUUGAUAAUGUUCUUCACAUAACCUAGCUGUACUUAGGAGACCACCUCUGUUUCUUAAUGUCAACAUUUUGUAUAUAGAAUGAGCCUUCAUUUCCACACAUAUUUUUAUGUAUUUAAAUUCAGUUUUGAAAAAAGUCUCUAACGUAGUCUCACUUAUCUUACAAUGUCCACAAAACUCAGUAGUCUGAUCAACACUUCAGAUAAAAAGACCGCACAAUUGACAAUAAGGACAUUUUGCUUAUUACAGAAGCCCAAAGUUUAAGUAACUAUUCCAGAACCAUAACGCCCCUUUAGAAAUUCUGAACAAGAACUAGCUCGACGCUAAUGUAAAACAGAGUUUACUUUAAAAAAUAAAUGCAAGAGUUGUACCCAAAUGUGUUUGGGACACUGUUAAGACAGGUCAAAAUUAACAAUACUGAGCAUAACUAAAGAGCUUUAAAUCAAGUGAUAGUCUUAUACAAAUAGCCACAAAUACCUGAGUAAAGUUUAUAAGUAUUAUUGGGGCAAAACAUUAACAUGCUCUUUUGCUGAUAAAGAUACAAAGUAACUCUGUGAAAACCUCCCUCCUUCUCAUUUCUCUAACUUUCACAAUAAAUGCAGUACUGAAACCAAAUUCUCAGUCAACGCAGAAAUGCGCCGAGCAGUAUUCCAAUAAACAACAAAUUGAUUAAAAAAAAAAAGACCCCACCAGAUUAAAAAUUUCCCCCAUCUUUCCCUUGCUUCCCCUUGUUCUUUCACUUUCCAUGCACACACAAUCACACUUACCUGCACAAGUCUGAAACAUCAGUCUAUGUAAUUUUUUUGAAAUGUACUCUGUACCGAUGCAUUUUUCUGUGUUUCUUUCUAACCCUCGGGAAUGUUAAGAAUUUAGGAAGAGAGCCACAGCUUAAGAGAGCAAUUAUUUGCCAGUAAAUACUCAAUUUGCUUGUCCUGUGAUUUUUCUUCUAACUUGCAUAUUCAAUAAUCCGUCC
rnacentral:lncRNA from 1 species